rnacentral:lncRNA from 1 species
GACUCGAUCUAGGAUUUCAAAGAGUGGUAAUUGUAGGGGAUGCCCAUUUGGUUAUCCGAAAAUUGCAAAUAGAACAAGAGGAUAAACCUGCUAUAAGUGCCUUCAUCAAGGAUUCAAAGGAACUGAGUAAGAGGUUCGAUAGAUGUAAUUUUGAACAUGCAUCAAGGCAAGCAAAUGGUUUUGCACAUCUCCGUGCUACAGAAGGAAUAAGAAGAGGCGAGAAU